CAAGACUGAGCCAAAAUCAAGAGACAGACGCUCAACUGACUGAGCCCCCCAGGAGCCACUAACGUGUCUAUUUUUAACUAGCACAGUUUCUGACACAUUUUACAUGCUCAAUAAUUACUUACUCCUUUCUUCCCAUCCCUAUUAAAAUGGAAUCACUGUUUUUCUCCAGGAGCUUGUCAAGCUGUCCCUUUGGGUGUCUAGAAAGGAGCAACGAUUUCAGCCAAUCUUAAACUCCUUCAACGUUACCAUCAGAACCACUCAGGAAGCUUGUUAAAAAUACAUAUUCCUGGGGCACCUGGGUGUCUCAUUCAGUUAAGCGUCUGACUUUGGCUCAGGUCAUGAUCUCAUGGUUGGUGCGUUCGAUCCUGUGUCAGGCUUUGUGCUCACAACUCAGAGCCUGAGCCUCCUUCGGAUUCUGUGUCUCCCUCUCUCUCUGCUCCUGCCCCGCUUAUACUCUCUCUCUCUCUCUCUCUCUCAAAAAUAAAUAAACAUUAAAAAAAAAUUUUUAAUUCUCUCUCCUUUGCUCUCCACCCCUCCCUCACUCACACUCUUUCUCUCUUAAAGAAUUAAAAUAAUAAUAAUAAUAAUAAUAAUAAUAAAAACAUAAUCCACUAAUGUGAUCAGUGAGUAUUCCAGUUAUUAUACAGAUGAAUUCAGAAGCAGUGUUUCUAUGUUUUCAGGAAUGAACACAGACCCUCAGGUUCUUACUAUGUUCAUCUGCAACAUUGGUAUCUCCUGUACUUGGGAAGAGAAAAAUCAUAGGCAGAUAAGAUUGGCAGUAAACACCCCACCCUCUUUCAAGGCAAUGGACUUGGAAAGCCUGUGGAAAUGUGUUUUAACCAGCAAUUACACUCCACCUUGUUAAUCUUCAUCAAGCUGCCUGUAAACCAGCAGACAGAUGCAACUCCCCUGAGCACUGAGUCCCCUUCAGUGCCUGCAAGGUAAUCUUUCCCUUCAGUGUCUCUGGGAUCAUGGUCAAAAGUCUAGUUCUGUUUUCAGAAGAGAACACAAAUCACUUUUUGUUUAUGGCUCCAUAAACAAACAAACAAAACAUAUAUAUAUAUAUAUGUAUGAAAAGUUAUUAAC
rnacentral:lncRNA from 1 species